rnacentral:rRNA from 1 species
AACGAACGCUGGCGGCAGGCUUAACACAUGCAAGUCGAACGAACAUAGCAAUAUGUUAGUGGCAGACGGGUGAGUAACGCGUGGGAAUGUGCCCUUUAGUUCGGAAUAACUCAGGGAAACUUGAGCUAAUACCGGAUAAGCCCGAGAGGGGAAAGAUUUAUCGCUGAAGGAGCAGCCCGCGUCUGAUUAGCUAGUUGGUGAGGUAAUGGCUCACCAAGGCGACGAUGAGUAGCUGGUCUGAGAGGAUGAUCAGCCACACUGGGACUGAGACACGGCCCAGACUCCUACGGGGGCAGCAGUGGGGAAUAUUAGUCAAUGGGGGCAACCCUGGUCCAGCCUAGCCGCGUGAGUGAUGAAGGCCUUAGGGUUGUAAAACACUUUUAUCCGGGAAGAUAAUGACUGUACCGGAAGAAUAAGCCCCGGCUAACUUCGUGCCAGCCGCCGCCGUAA